UGGGGAAUAUUGGACAAUGGGCGCAAGCCUGAUCCAGCAAUGCCGCGCGAGUGAAGAAGGCCCUAGGGUUGUAAAGCUCUUUCGCCCGCGACGAUGAUGACGGUAGCGGGAGAAGAAGCCCCGGCUAACUCCGUGCCAGCAGCCGCGGUAAUACGGAGGGGGCUAGCGUUGUUCGGAAUUACUGGGCGUAAAGGGCGCGUAGGCGGCCCGCCAAGUCCGGCGUGAAAGUCCUGGGCUCAACCCGGGGACGGCGCUGGAGACUGGCGGGCUGGAGUCCGGGAGAGGGUGGCGGAAUUCCCAGUGUAGAGGUGAAAUUCGUAGAUAUUGGGAAGAACACCGGUGGCGAAGGCGGCCACCUGGCCCGGGACUGACGCUGAGGCGCGAAAGCGUGGGGAGCAAACAGGAUUAGAUACC
rnacentral:rRNA from 1 species